GGAUAUGUAGGUUCAGUAAGGGGGUAUGGAACAGGUAGGGGCAGUAGAGGGGUAGAAGGGAGUAUGUGGGGCAUUAGGGAGGUGGGGCAGUAAGGGAUUAGGAAGGGGUAGUAGUGGAUAUGUAGGUGCAGUAAGGGGGUAUGUAUGGGGAGUAAGGGGGAUAGAUAGUUGCGGUAGGGGGUAGGUAGGGGCAGUAUGGGACAGGUAGGGGCAGUAUGGGAC